UAGUGCAGCCCUAAGUGGGUGGUAAACUCCAUCUAAGGCUAAAUAUGACCACGAGACCGAUAGCGAACAAGUACCGUGAGGGAAAGUUGAAAAGCACUUUGAAGAGAGAGUUCAAGAGUACGUGAAACCGUUUAGGGGUAAACCUGAGAAACCCGAAAGGUCGAAGGGAGAAAUUCAUUCGCGUUUCGACGUAGGCGUCGGACGGUCGUGUGACGGGAAACGUUCGCGUUUUCCGCACCUUCUGUCCGUCGAACCGGCGACGAACGCGUGCACUUUUCUCCUGGUAGGACGUCGCGAUCCGUUGGGUGUCGGUCUACGGCUCGCGGUGGAGCCCGUUCGCCAUUACGUGCGAGCGGACCCGCGUGUCCCGGCUGACUCGCUCGACGGUAUACGAAAGGUUUGAGGCCGCUCUCGGAGCGUUCGACUCGUUGCAAGCGCGCCAGAUGUGUCGGCGAUCGGACCUAGUGCCGGUUCCGAUCUCUGGUGACUGUUGGCCGCGAUGUUCUCGAACAGACCUCU
rnacentral:rRNA from 1 species